rnacentral:rRNA from 1 species
GACGAACGCUGGCGGCGUGCUUAACACAUGCAAGUCGAACGAUGAAGCCGGAGCUUGCUCUGGUGAAUUAGUGGCGAACGGGUGAGUAACACGUGAGUAACCUGCCCUUGACUCUGGGAUAACUGCGGGAAACUGUAGCUAAUACCGGAUACGACCCUCGGAGGCAUCUCCUGGGGGUGGAAAGAAUUUCGGUCAAGGAUGGACUCGCGGCCUAUCAGCUAGUUGGUGAGGUAAAGGCUCACCAAGGCGACGACGGGUAGCCGGCCUGAGAGGGUGACCGGCCACACUGGGACUGGGACACGGCCCAGACUCCUACGGGAGGCAGCAGUGGGGAAUAUUGCACAAUGGGCGCAAGCCUGAUGCAGCAACGCCGCGUGAGGGAUGACGGCCUUCGGGUUGUAAACCUCUUUUAGCAGGGAGGAAGCGAAAGUGACGGUACCUGCAGAAAAAGCACCGGCUAACUACGUGCCAGCCGCCGCAGUAA